rnacentral:lncRNA from 1 species
UGAGCCAAAACCUUGGCAAAUUGCUCAAGAUAUAGCCCAAGAGACAACCACUAGUAAAUCGGUUUACUUACUACCCUUAGAUUGCAUGCACUGACUUCAAAAUCCAAUAACUCUUCAUCCAAACUUGGAAUCCAAUAAGCAGUAUAAGAAAAGUUUAGUUGCAAAAGUACUCUUUGUAGUCGCAGUCGCCGAUCCUUAAUUGCUAUCCGUACGCAUGCAUUAUGCCAAAAAGAGUGAUAGUAGGUCCAAAACUAGUACCUUAACUUUGAGAGCCUAUAAUUUCUUCAUAAAAACCC